AAACUAGCAUAUCAAUAAGCGGAGGAAAAGAAACCAACAGGGAUUGCCUCAGUAACGGCGAGUGAAGCGGCAAAAGCUCAAAUUUGAAAUCUGGCACCUCCGGUGUUCGAGUUGUAAUUUGGAGAGGCAUCUUCCGCAGGGGUUCAGCCUAUGUUCCUUUGAACAGGACAUCACAGAGGGUGAGAAUCCCGUUCAUGGCUGGACGUACCCCGCAGUAGGUAGUGCCUUCAACGAGUCGAGUUGUUUGGGAAUGCAGCUCAAAAUGGGUGGUAAAUUUCAUCUAAAGCUAAAUAUUGGCGAGAGACCGAUAGCGCACAAGUAGAGUGAUCGAAAGAUGAAAAGCACUUUGAAAAUAGAGUCAAACAGUACGUGAAAUUGUUGAAAGGGAAGCGCUUGAGAUCAGACUCAGCCUUGGGCAAACAACUUUCCUUCUGGGUGGUGCACUUGCCCUUGGUUGGGCCAGCAUCAGUUAGGACGGUGGAAUAAAGGCUUGGGGAAUGUGACUCCGCUUAGGAGUGUUAUAGCCCCGGGUGCCAUCCCGCCUGUCCUGACUGUGGACCGCGCUUCGGCUAGGAUGCUGGCAUAAUGGUCUUUAGCGGCCCGUCUUGAAACACGGACCAAGGAGUCUAACAUCUAUGCAAGUGUUUGGGCUCUAGACCCUCACGCGUAAUAAAAGUGAACGGAGGUGGGAACCUCGAGAGGGGCGCACCAUCGACCGAUCCUGAUGUCUUCGGAUGGAUUUGAGUAGGAGCAUAGCUGUUGGGACCCGAAAGAUGGUGAACUAUGCCUGAAUAGGGUGAAGCCAGAGGAAACUCUGGUGGAGGCUCGCAGCGGUUCUGACGUGCAAAUCGAUCGUCAAAUUUGGGUAUAGGGGCGAAAGACUAAUCGAACCAUCUAGUAGCUGGUUCCUGCCGAGUUUC
rnacentral:rRNA from 2 species